AGUGGCGAACGGGUGAGUAAUACAUCGGAACGUACCUUAUCGUGGGGGAUAACGCAGCGAAAGCUGUGCUAAUACCGCAUACGCCCUGAGGGGGAAAGCGGGGGAUCGAAAGACCUCGCGCGAUUAGAGCGGCCGAUGCCUGAUUAGCUUGUUGGUGGGGUAAAAGCCCACCAAGGCGACGAUCAGUAGCUGGUCUGAGAGGACGAUCAGCCACACUGGGACUGAGACACGGCCCAGACACCUACGGGAGGCAGCAGUGGGGAAUUUUGGACAAUGGGGGAAACCCUGAUCCAGCAAUGCCGCGUGAGUGAAGAAGGCCUUCGGGUUGUAAAGCUCUUUUGUCAGGGAAGAAACACCGGCUCUAACACAGUCCGGGAAUGACGGUACCUGAAGAAUAAGCACCGGCUAACUACGUGCCAGCAGCCGCGGUAAUACGUAGGGUGCAAGCGUUAAUCGGAAUUACUGGGCGUAAAGCGUGCGCAGGCGGUUAUACAAGACAGGCGUGAAAUCCCCGGGCUUAACCUGGGAAUGGCGCCUGUGACUGUAUAGCUAGAGUGUGUCAGAGGGGGGAAGAAUUCCACGUGUAGCAGUGAAAUGCGUAGAUAUGUGGAGGAGUACCAAUGGCGAAGGCAGCCCCCUGGGAUAACACUGACGCUCAUGCACGAAAGCGUGGGGAGCAAACAGGAUUAGAUACCCUGGU
rnacentral:rRNA from 1 species